GCCUGAACACGCACGCAUGCGCAGACCCAGCGCAGACCCAGCCACGUGCCCUGGUACACCGUCAGCCCCCCCCACACACACACACACGCAUGCGCACACAACCUCACCCGGCCGCCACCAUCCUGGCCUGUCCCCCGGUCUUCGCCAGGGUGGACCUCAGGGACACAGCUGGUGGAAAGGCCCCUGGGCCACCAGCGCCUCCCUUACUGCUCCUUUGUGGAAACUGAGGCCCAAGAAGGAAGAGUCGAGCAGCGAAGUUCAGAAAGGGCAGCUGCGUCCCCUCCCUCAACGCCUGGCCCGGGCUCCCCCACUCUGUGUGACCUCGCCCCAGGCACACGCAUGAGCACAUGGUCACCCCAAGAUGCCCCACUGUGCAACCAAAGCUGGGACAGGGGACAGAUGACCCGGCCCGGGCUUUCCUGAGCCAGCAUCCAGCCCAAGGCUUGGCAUGAAAAAUGACCCCGGCCAGGCCCUGCUUGCCUCAGUCUCCCCAUGGGUCUUACAAGCCACCCCUUCAGUCAAACGCCACUUCUGGGGGGAGGGCUUCCUGCCGUUCCAGAGGUGCCUGGCCUCCCGCGUUGCACUCAGCUGUGAGCCAGGAAAGAGGCAACCCUGGGCCAUAAACUGCCACCCAGGACAGACCAUAACCUGGGCAACUCGGGGAGGAGGGGCAGAGCACCCCAGCUCCCAGCCUGGGUAGACGUGGGACCCCUGAAGGCAGGAGGGGAGGCUGAGGCGGGAGGGCGCAGGGUGUUUGUCCUCAGCCUUUGGAGGAGGGAGAGAGACGCUAAUCGGGCCCUGAAGGUCCCGAGGUAACAGGACCUGCGGUUAUAAAUAAAUCCUGGUGUGGUGGCAGGCAGCGCUGGACCUGUGCCUUGCAGGCCUGGACAGCUGGAACCUGACCCCCCAGCCAGCAAGCCUGCACCGUGUGGUGACCUUUGGGGUGCUGCGAGCUCAGAGUGGGCCCCAGGCUUCCUGGUCCUCGGCUGGCUGCGGCCACAGGAGGGGACACUGAUAUACCGAGGCCCCGGCUCUGCCACCACCCGGGCCUGAAAGUGGAUGUGUUGCCUCCUGGACGCAGGACCUGGCCUCUCAGAGAGCUGUCCCCAGCACCAGCUGACACAGAGGGCGGGGAGGCCCAGGGUGACCCAGCCAGCUGUCAGCGCCUGGGGACACCACCGUCCACCUGCUUUUCAAAAGAGGAACGGUGGCGGCUCCAGGGAGCCCACAAUUUAUUCUCAAAACCUGGUGUGAGCCAAGCAGGCCGGCAUGCCAGCACCCAGGGGGCUGAGGCAGGACGAUCAGCACGCUCCAGGUCAGCCUGGCUACAUGAGAAUAAAACAAAACAAAGCCAAACAGAACAAAGCAGAUCAGAGCAAAGCAAUGCAAAUAACAGGAUUUCAGGACAAAGCAACAGGAAAUCAACAGUGGCUGCCAUAAUGUCUCUUGUUUUCUGUGUAAUAGCUUCCACACCCUCACACACAAUGAGUUAGUUCAAAUCAAAACAGUACAAAGGCAACCAGAACAAGAGAGUGCGGGCCGGACUGGCCUUCAAAAACGGACACUGGGAAAUCAACAAUGGCCCCCGGAAUGUCUCGUUUUCCUCAAAAUGGCUGUCCAUACUGAAAUCAGAUAAUUGAAAACAGACUAAAGCCAAUCAAAACCAAGAAUAAAAGCAUCAUUGGACUUGGAAACAAAAUGACAGGAA